ACCUGUCGCGGUCGCCCCCAGUGGUGCCCGCGACACAAGACACACACCGUGCUGCGGGAAGAGCGUGGCACUUCAGGGCGUU
rnacentral:sRNA from 1 species